rnacentral:lncRNA from 1 species
CCCACUCCUUCAAUCUCCUUCAAUUUUCUUUAAAAUGUAUGUAUAUUCAUACUUGUGUCCUUGUAUUCACAAGAGAAAUGAUGAUUUAAUCUUUUCAGCAUUGCAUCCUCCGAUGAAGAUCCGACUUUGAAAUGUAGAUACGUUCGAAUAUCUUAACAAGACAUUGAAUCGUUGGUUAGAUGGAGACAUUGCAAAUGGUGAAAGGAUCAGAAGAAUUCAAAGGUUUGAUACGACGUUCAACCAAAAUGGAGAAGUUCGUUUUUUGGUCAAUAUUAAAACUGACAGAGACGUUCACAGGAUGAUAUAUACUCCUCACAAAGUUAUUUUGAUGGUUGUAAUCGCAUAGUUAUGUUGUUUAUGUGUUGUAUUUGUUUGUGAUGGUAUUUUAUUUGUUGUAGUUUCUUGUGUUGUUGUUUAAUUAUUGUAUUUGUUUUGCUUAUCAUAUAAAAUGAAUGUUGUUUUUAAUAUAAAGCAAAAGAGUUACAAUUAAAAUUAACUUGUUGUGCUUGUUCCAACACAGGGACAGUUAGUACGAUUAUGAUCGGGAUGACGACAUGAACUAUAUAAUCUAACUAUUUUGUUUGUCG